UUAGAAUGGUAAGCUUGCAGUGAGUGCGAGGAAGCCGGUGGAAACCCGGCACGGUCACGCCACUGUAUGCGGUUCGCAUCGCAAAGAUGAGAGCCGUGAGUCAGACCCCGCUGCAAGCUCUUCUAUUAA
rnacentral:ncRNA from 2 species